rnacentral:rRNA from 1 species
UACGUAGGGGGCGAGCGUUGUCCGAAUUUACUGGGCGUAAAGCGCGCGUAGGCGGCUCUUUAAGUCUGGCGUGAAAGGUUCAGGGCUCAACCCGAACAGUGCGCUGGAGACUGGAGAGCUUGAGGACGGGAGAGGGAAGCGGAAUUCCGGGUGUAGCGGUGAAAUGCGUAGAUAUCCGGAGGAACACCGAUGGCGAAGGCAGCUUCCUGGCCCGUAUCUGACGCUGAGGUGCGAAAGCGUGGGGAGCGAACGGG